UACGUAGGGGGCGAGCGUUGUCCGGAUUUACUGGGCGUAAAGGGCGUGCAGGCGGCUUGUUAAGUGCAGGGUGAAAGCUCCCGGCUCAACUGGGAGAGGUCCUUGCAUACUGGCGAACUCGAGGGAGGCAGAGGAAAGUGGAAUUCCCGGUGUAGUGGUGAUAUGCGUAGAUAUCGGGAGGAACACCUGUGGCGAAGGCGGCUUUCUGGGCCUUGCCUGACGCUGAGACGCGAAAGCGUGGGGAGCGAACCGG
rnacentral:rRNA from 1 species